GGCAGUGUGGUGUAAUGGUUUGAGCAUUGGAUUACGACUCUGGAGAUCAGGGUUUGAAUCCUUGCUUGGCCG